UUGACCGUGAGUGCCACUCGUUGAGUGAGCUGACGAACCUGGGUAUGAAACGUGAUGUAAACCUCAUAAAGUAAUGAUUAAUCCCCACGUAGUAUAUUGAUAAAUCUCUUGUUUAUUAGGAGAGAGCUUUGUGUGUAUAGAGAGAGAGAGCGGAGCUGCUUCAGCCGUGUAAGCCUCUGUUGGACUCCGAUUGUUUUUUUGCUAGAUCAGAUAUUGAUCAGUAUUCUGAACCUUUGGUGGUUCAGUGGCGAGCCAGGCGAUUGACAGCAGACAGAGAUCGGGAUCCACUCCGAAGACAUCUACUCACUUUCCUUUGAUACAGAUAAGAACGUUCACCAUAAAACCUACCCGGGUAGUAGAACGAACACAGGGUUAAAACCCUAUCUUCUGAUAUAGAAGAAAGGACACUUUUCUUUGAACUUUAUUUUAUUUUUUAUUUUAUUGAAAGAGCUCUAUUUUUGUUUGUUCCUAAUUCACUGCACUGCAAAAUAAGAAUUGUUGGCAAGGCAAUAAAUGAUCACUGUUCAACUUCCA